GACGAACGCUGGCGGCGUGCUUAACACAUGCAAGUCGAACGGUGAAGCGCCUUCCUUUUUGGUGGGUGUGGAUGAGUGGCGAACGGGUGAGUAACACGUGAGUAACCUGCCCCCUUCUUCUGGAUAACCGCAUGAAAGUGUGGCUAAUACGGGAUAUUCUGGGUCUGUCGCAUGAUGGGUCUGGGAAAGAUAUUGUUUCGGUGGGGGAUGGGCUCGCGGCCUAUCAGCUUGUUGGUGGGGUGAUGGCCUACCAAGGCGGUGACGGGUAGCCGGCCUGAGAGGGUGGACGGGCACACUGGGACUGAGACACGGCCCAGACUCCGACGGGAGGCAGCAGUGGGGAAUAUUGCACAAUGGGCGCAAGCCUGAUGCAGCGACGCCGCGUGAGGGAUGGAGGCCUGCGGGUUGUGAACCUCUUUCGCCAGUGAAGCAGGCCUGCCUCGUUUGUGGGUGGGUUGACGGUAGCUGGAGAAGAAGCGCCGGCUAACUACGUG
rnacentral:rRNA from 1 species